rnacentral:rRNA from 1 species
CAAUAGCGUAUAUUAAAGUUGUUGCAGUUAAAAAGCUCGUAGUUGAAUUUCGGGUCCCCGCGCUCGGCGCUUCGUUGUGCCGUCGUGGUGUCCCUCCUCGCCGUCAGGCGUCCUUUACUGUGAAAAAAUUAGAGUGUUCAAAGCAGGCAAUCGCUUGAAUACAUUAGCAUGGAAUAAUAAGAUAGGAUCUUGUCUAUUUUGUUGGUUGCGGACAAUGAUAACGAUUAAUAGGGAUAGUUGGGGGUGUCCGUAUUGAGCUGUCAGAGGUGAAAUUCUUGGAUUUGCUCAAGACGAACUACUGCGAAAGCAUUCACCAAGGAUGUUUUCAUUAA